AUGGUCUCCUCCAGCCCCGCCCCCACGGGGGCGGCGGUGCCCGAGUCACCGUCCACCAUCACGGACGGAGCCGUCAGCGGCGCACUCCCGCGGACGGAGGCCUUGGCCGUGCACUACCCCGGAUACCCCUCCUCUCCCGCUCGCGCCACCCAUACCCUCGGCGGCCUCCCCGCUAUCGCCAAGGUCCGGAGUUCCGACCCCGGCUCCCGCCUCGAGCUCCGCUUCCGCCCGGAGGACCCCGAUUGCCACCCGACCUUCGGCGAGCCCCGCGCCUCCACCGGCCUGCUCCUCCGCCUCUCAAGGCCCAAGGGAGGCUCCGCGCCACCGCGUGCUGAGGUGGUGGCGCGCGUCCGGACCGCCUACCAUUUCGAUGGCAUGGCAGAUUUUCAGCAUGUCGUCCCAGUUCAUGCUGCUCAAGUGAGAAAAAGAAAACGGUUAGAUUGUCCCAAUGUUAAAGAUGAUUUGGGCACUGAUAAGGCAGGAGGUCUAGACACGGAUGAUGGAGAUGUCAUGAUGUUGGUACCACCGCUCUUCGCAAUAAAGGAUAAUCCAACAAACAUAGCGCUUCUACCAUCGACCAAUGCACUAUCCAAGAGCAUGCAAAGGGGAGUUGUGCGGCAUCGGUGGGAGAUGGAUAUUGAACCAACCCUUGCACUUCCUUUCAACAUUCAAGCUGUCCCCAAGAAGGUUAACUGGGAAGACCACAUACCAAGGAAUUCGUCAGAGUGGAAUUCGCAGAUGGCUGUGUGCAAAUUAUUUGACGAGCGUCCUGUGUGGCCAAGACAGUCACUUUAUGAACGUUUGAUUGAUGAUGGUGUGCAUGUGUCAACAAGCCAGUUCAAAAGCCUUUUGUUUAAAGCUGGAUACUACUUCUCUACUGGACCCUUUGGUAAAUUCUGGAUCAAAAAAGAAUAUGAUCCUCGUAAAGAUCCUGAGUCACGAAUAUAUCAGCGAAUUGAUUUUCGCAUGCCUCCUGAGCUAAGGAAUCUUCAAACGAAAAGGCACAAUGGAUCUGAGAAGUGGUCAGAGAUGUGCAAGCUUGAAAGGAUGCCAUCGAAAAGUUUCAUCUUCCUGCAAUUAUUUGAACUGAAAGAUGACUUCAUUCAAGCCGAAAUUAGAAAACCUUCUCAUCAAUCAACUUGCUCACAUUCGACAGGUUGGUUUUCUAAGCCAAUGAUUAAAAGUUUGAGGUUACAACUAUGCAUAAGGUUCCUCUCAUUAUGUCCUAAUGAAGAUGCCAAAACCCUUUUGAGAAGUUCCCAUCAACUUCUUGAAAGGUCCAAAAAGCAGGAAGCUAUUUGCAGAUCUGAGCAACUGAAGGAAAGAAAAGAUGUUGAUGAAGAAGCUCCUGCUGAACAUGUUGGAUCUGAGGAUCAGAUGGACACUAACAACUCUGAUAGUGAAGAUGCUGAUGACGAGGAAGAGGAAGAUAAAGAGGAAUCAGAUGGUUAUGAUUCUCCAGCCAUGGCCGAGGAUGUUCCUGAUUUCGCCUUACAUGAGUCCUACACACUUGGAGAAGGCUUCUCCACUGGAUACCUUGAGGAGGUUUUGCGCAGCUUUCCACUGAAUGAAGAUGGCCAGAAUAAAUCAGGUGAUGCCCUUAAUAAUGGUGAAGCAAGUGAUGGGGAGUUUGAAAUUUUCGAACAGCCUAGUGACGAUGAAGAAUAUUCCGAUGGUUAG
rnacentral:rRNA from 1 species